rnacentral:rRNA from 1 species
UACGGGGGGGGCAAGCGUUGUUCGGAAUUACUGGGCGUAAAGGGCUCGUAGGCGUCCAACUAAGUCAGACGUGAAAUCCCUCGGCUUAACCGGGGAACUGCGUCUGAUACUGGAUGGCUUGAGUUUGGGAGAGGGAUGCGGAAUUCCAGGUGUAGCGGUGAAAUGCGUAGAUAUCAGGAGGAACACCGGUGGCGAAGGCGGCUCUCUGGACGGUGACUGACGCUGAGACGCGAAAGCGUGGGGAGCAAACAGG